UACGAAGGGGGCUAGCGUUGCUCGGAAUCACUGGGCGUAAAGCGCACGUAGGCGGCUUGUUAAGUCAGGGGUGAAAUCCUGGAGCUCAACUCCAGAACUGCCUUUGAUACUGGCAAGCUUGGAGUCCGGGAGAGGUGAGUGGAACUGCGAGUGUAGAGGUGAAAUUCGUAGAUAUUCGCAAGAACACCAGUGGCGAAGGCAGCUCGCUGGGACGGUACUGACGCUGAGACGCGAAAGCGUGGGGAGCAAACAGG
rnacentral:rRNA from 1 species